ensembl:antisense Gm43507 predicted gene 43507
UGAACAAUACAGAAGAUCCUCUUUUGAGGGGUCUUCCUCUUGCUUUCCAGACUGGCAGCCUCCAGAAAGCAAUCUGCAUCGUGGAGAUGGCUCUAUGGGUAAAGGACUCACCUUCAAGCAAGGUGACCAGAGGUGGGGCCGUCAUCAUACAUGUGAGUACCAGGGUUACUGGACAUUGAUCAUAAGGAAGGAUCUGUGGGAAGACAAUCACAAGCUGAACAUCAAGAUUAUUUCCAAUGAAAAAAAAGACCAGAGAACACUUCAUCCCAAGUCACUGACGACCAGAAACUUGUGUUUCAGAACAACAGUAACAAGAUGUAUAUAUGGAGGUGUGAAUUCCACUUCUAGAAUUAACUAGGUAAAAAGUUUUUGCUGUUGCAUCCAAAUGAACCAAGAUAAGAAUCCACCGAGCGACCUUAUCCCUCUCGAGAAGCCAGCACUCACAUCCAGAGUGUGCAGUCUUUCCUUCCUUGACUUUUUUUUCCCCUUAAGUCUAAACCUAAAACUAUGCUGGAGACUUUUCUUAAUAUAGACCUCAACCCUUCCUCAAGAUUAAAAAAAAAUCCAUAUUCUGAUUCCUUUUUAUGAAAAUUGUAGCAUCAUAGCUAGAAUUACUUAGUUUGAACUGAAAUAGGAAUCCAUACCAGGGUCUCUUUUUAGACAAAAACCACUGAU